rnacentral:rRNA from 1 species
UACGGAGGGUGCAAGCGUUGUCCGGAAUCAUUGGGCGUAAAGAGUUCGUAGGUGGUAUGUUAAGUCUGGUGUUAAAGCCCGAAGCUCAACUUCGGUUCGGCACUGGAUACUGGCAAACUUGAAUGUGGUAGAGGUAAAGGGAAUUCCUGGUGUAGCGGUGAAAUGCGUAGAUAUCAGGAGGAACAUCGGUGGCGAAAGCGCUUUACUGGGCCAUUAUUGACACUGAGGAACGAAAGCCGGGGUAGCAAAUGGG